rnacentral:RNase_P_RNA from 1 species
ACUGCUGAUGAUAGCUAUGGGGCGUGAGGAAAAGUCCGGGCUCCACCGGAAAAGAUGCCGGAUAACAUCCGGGCGGAAAUGGAAAGUUGCCUAAAGUGGCUUGUCCAAAGCUGGCAUAACUCCAAUUUCCGACAGAAAGUGCUACAGAAAAUAACCGCCCGCAAGGGUAAGGGUGAAAAGGCAGGGUAAGAGCCUACCGCGUCUCUGGCAACAGUGGCGGCAUAAGUAAACCUCAUCUGGAGCAAGAUCAUGUAGCAGUUUGCCAUUCCGGGCUUAUACUGCGGGUAGAUCGCUGGAGGUGUCGGGCAACCGGCAUCGUGGAUAGAUGGCCACAUACAAUUUUUUGUAUACCAGAACCCGGCUUACCGUAUUCCU